rnacentral:rRNA from 1 species
ACCGAGAUUCAACAUGGAACGAGUGGCGGACGGGUGAGUAACACGUGGGUAACCUGCCCUUAAGUGGGGGAUAACAUUUGGAAACAGAUGCUAAUACCGCAUAGAUCCAAGAACCGCAUGGUUCUUGGCUGAAAGAUGGCGUAAGCUAUCGCUUUUGGAUGGACCCGCGGCGUAUUAGCUAGUUGGUGAGGUAAUGGCUCACCAAGGCGAUGAUACGUAGCCGAACUGAGAGGUUGAUCGGCCACAUUGGGACUGAGACACGGCCCAAACUCC